rnacentral:rRNA from 1 species
UACGUAGGGUGCAAGCGUUGUCCGGAAUUAUUGGGCGUAAAGAGCUCGUAGGCGGUCUGUCGCGUCGGCUGUGAAAACUCGGGGCUCAACUCCGAGCUUGCAGUCGAUACGGGCAGGCUAGAGUUCGGAAGAGGCGAGUGGAAUUCCUGGUGUAGCGGUGGAAUGCGCAGAUAUCAGGAGGAACACCUAUAGCGAAGGCAGCUCGCUGGGACGACACUGACGCUGAGACGCGAAAGCGUGGGGAGCGAACAGG